CGAAUAACGACGCCGACACUUACACUAGAAUUACUGUGAAACAAUCUCUUUAACAGUAUUGCGUCAAAAUGUGGUCUUCUAAUGGCUUAUGUUCUUCUCCAGGAGGAGGUCGAUGCGUUCUUCGAGCUGAUUUUCACGAUUGCCCCAACUUAUUGCAACUCUCGUGUUCCAUACGACUCAAGAUGGUGCACACCUGUAACCAUGGAGCCAAUUGCCAAGUGCAUUGCAAACGUAGCAGGGGAGUCACCAGGACAAACCACGCAAUGUUACUCAGUUCGCUUGCGUGGCCCCAGAGGAACCAGACAGCGCUCUUAUACAGCUAAUCAGAAACUACCCUGCAAAAAGAUUUCCCACGAGUUUCCGGCCGAAGCUGGUGGAUAUUCCCGGCGAAAUCUGGCUAUAGGUGGCAGCAUUCUCUCUGCAGUAUUGUGGAUAAUCGGUCGGUGGCGCCUUUACAAAAACACUUUGCGGCGCUUUCUUGCUUGCACUAUGAGCCGAUUGUCGGCGAAUAAAAUGAGUUGACUACAGCUUA